CUGCUUCUCACAGAAAUGCACGUGAUGUUUGAGCACCCACUGCCUUUUCUCUCCACAGAAGGAUGGCCAAGUAGCUGAUUAAGGACGUGCUUCGUUUGGCGUACUUGGUGAGGAGUAAUGGAGCUGGAGCACGAGAGAUGUGGCAAUCACUGGCAAGUGCUGUAGCUGGACGAGGCCCUUGGCUCUCCCUGCUGCUGCUUCUGGAGGUAUGUAAGCUCAAGUAGGAAAGAGUGACUUUUGUGUGGUUUAUAGUGUGGCUGUUGUAUCUGAGGCAAGGGAAGGCUAUUUCAAGAUGGACCAUGUUGAUGGGUGGGGUCUGGGACGACGGC
rnacentral:lncRNA from 1 species